UGGUCGAAAUUGCGAUUUCAGACAAAGCGAUCUCGUGAUCGCCAAAGCCGCGGUUUCUUCCGUGUUCCUGACUGACCCGAGAUAUGUUGUCAACUAUUUAUACCGGCACUUGAGAAAUCACCAUAUACCUCACCAUAUACCUUAUAACGUAAUGUCCCCAAUUAAUGUAAAGCAAUUGGCCCGCCGGCAUAUCGCAUUUCAGCGUUAACGCGUUGACGUGCGUCUUGACGCGGUAACCCUGGCGCGUCAACUCCCCCCCCCCCCCUUGAGUUUGACACCCCUUGUUUAUAGAAUAGAUGUGCAAUAUCUACCAGAAAAAUCGCAAUUAGAUCUUUUCCUGAAAUCGUUCAGCCCUUGAGUGAAUGUGUAAUUUAACAUUUUAUGAUAAAAAUUCUAAUUCUAAAAUGUAUAUUAUUUUCCCUUUUUCCUAGUCAGUUGAAUUAUGGAGGAUGUCUUACAGACAUUGGAUCCAAAUCUUUGUAUCAUUUGUGGGAAUCAUUUGGAAAAGGGCAAGAAAAAAGAUCCCUAUGUCCAAAACCCCACAGUAGAAGGCCUCCAACGCAUACUUACUCUUGCUCAGCAGAGAGAUGAUGAUGUCCAUAAAAACUUUGCUCCAUAUAGAGAUGACAUACUUUCAGCCAAAAUUAAAGUGUCAUAUCAUGUAUCAUGUAGAGCAAACUACUGCAAGAAAAAAAACAGUGAGCAGCAAGUUGCAGAUGUUGAGAGUGAGAGCACAUCUGUGCCAAGAAGGCUGAGUAGGUCUGAUACAGCAUCAUUUAACAUACGGAGAGAUUGUUUCAUUUGUGAGAAGGCCAGCACUAGACCAGAACCUCUGACAGCCAUUUCAACUGGUACAGGCACGAGUACCAGAGAAAAGGUACUUCAUGCAGCUUCUGAAAGGCUUGAUGAAGAUGUACAUCUUCGGAUUCUUUCAUGCCCAGAUCUCUUUGCAUAUGAUGCUAAAUACCAUAAAAAGUGUCUUGCACACUACAUCUCUGAACGAAAUAUAGCAGCUGCCAGACGAAGAAAAGAAUCUGAAAAGAAGCAGACAAAUGUCUAUGACAAAGCCUUUAUCAAGCUAACUGAAGAAAUUGAUAAAACAGUGUUGUCCAAGGAUAUGAAAGUUCGAACUCUCAACUAUUUGACUGAUAGCUACGAUGACAUACUAAUGAGCAUUUCUGAGGAAGAUGUGUCCACGGUCCAACACAAGAAAUACAGAUCCUGGAAACUAAAGGGAAAGUUGAUGCAGCAUUACAAAGACAGGCUGGUAUUUGUUCCACGUCCAGGAAAGUCAGAUCUGGUGUGUUCGGAGACUAUGACUGUAGGUUGUGCACUGAGGGAAGCUGCUCAACUCAGAGAAAAGACUGAAGAACAUAAAGAAGACUAUGAGCCAACACUUCCAGAGACAAGUCAGAGUCUUUCUGAAACUCAAUUAUUACACAGGGCUGCAGACAUAUUGAGGAAAAGCAUGGAGCAGGUAGAGCAUGACAGUAAAUCAUAUGUCAGCAGUGAUCGUCUAUCACGUUGUCAAUGCAGCAAGUAUGUACCAAACACCCUGUAUGAUUUUGUGAACUGGUGUGUUGAUUCACGUGCCCACAGAGGUUACCAAACAUGUGAUGAUGACCCAGCUUCGAAGGACAAUCUGUGUGUGAUAGCAAUCUGUCAUGAUCUCAUUGGGCAGAGCCGUCACAUCCAUACGCCAAUCACACUGGGACUCGCCAUUUUGAUUCAACAUGAGUUUGGUAGUAAGACACUCAUCGAUGAGCUCAGUGCAAUGGGGCACUGUGUUUCCUAUACAGAGGUUAGGCAUUUCCUCACAUCUGUGGCAGCAGACCAGAUAUCAAGGACAGAAAGAGGUGUCUACAUCCCAACAGGCCUCACUGGAGUCGCUGAACAUGGAAUUGUUGAUGCAGCCAUCGACAACUUUGACCAAAAUGAAGAUACCCUGGAUGGGAAGCAUACAACUCAUGCUAUGGCUUCUGUUGUGUUCCGAAGAGGCCAAGUCUCCACAGCAGAUACAUGCCUAGCACGGGUUCCAGAGAGGUCCCUCACCACCUCAAACACAUUCGACCUGAAUGGAGAUACACUUCACAGGUACUUAUUUUUGACAUUGACAUUUUUUUUAAAUCAAUUUUUAUGUUUUAAUGUUAUAGUAUCCACUUAUUCACAUGCACUGCUAAAAAUAUAAUGGGUGGAUGAAAUGUUUAAUAGUGAAGUGAAUGUAUGCUGUGAAGUUUUAAAGUGAUAUAAUAUUCAAUGCAUAUGAUCACAAGAUUAUCCUCUCAUUUCAAUUGACAGAUACAUCAAAUCAACAAAGCGACCAGAACCACCUGAACUUCCUGAGUUACUAAACACAAACACAACAGUCUCUAAAGCAGCUGAAGACAGAGAUCUGGUAUGGAAGCUGUCCCGAAAUGUAAUUGAGAAUCAGCAGCAUGUCCCUUCAUGGUCUGCAUUCAAUGCCUUCACGUCAGACACUGCUUGUUCAGUAGCCAGUGUACUCUACAUGCCCUUCAUAAGAGAAUCACCCUCAGAAUUGUCCACCAUCUAUACAUCUUUGAUAAGACUUGUACAGCUUGCUGCAGACCUGGGACAGGACCAUAUUCUUGUGACUGCAGACCUUGCUAUUUAUAGUAAAGCACAACAGAUAAUGUGGAGCAAACCACUUCCUUUACAAGGAAAGAUCACAAUGAGACUGGGAGGUAUGCAUAUCACGAUGGCUUACCUGGCAAGCAUCGGAAAGCUGUAUGGCGAUGGUGGACUCUUUGACAUACUUACUGAGUCAGAUGUGUAUGCAGAGGGAACAGCUCGACAGAUGCUUCAAGGGAAACAGCUGGCAAGAGGAGUAAGGAGCAUAAAGCUAGCCUCUGAGGCUCUGUUCAGGCUCUUCUGGAAAGCUAUGCAAUCAUGGCUUGAAAAACAAGGCCAAUGUGCAAUGACUGAAGAACAAGAGCAACUCCUACGAGAUGUACAGCAUGCAUUUCAUGGUAAUGACAAGGCCACUGCUCAACAGUUCAUCGGUGAGGUGGAGACUGAACUCCAUGAGAUUCAGAAGAAAAUCCAGAAGUUCACAAAUGAGGGAGUUAAGCAAUCAGCAACAUUUGGAUACUGGAUAAUGUUCCUAAAUGGUGCUGAUCUGUUGCUACGGAUCCUUCGCUCAGAACGCGAAGCUGACUUUCAACUUCACCUGAAUUGCAUGUGUGAAGUUAUGCCUUGGUUCAGAGCUGCUGGAAGGACCAAUUAUUCCAAGUACAUGCCUGUCUAUGUUGCAGAAAUGAAAGCUCUUGAACAUGAACAACCAGAAGCAUACACAUUCAUGCAGCAAGGUGGGUUUGUUGUUCGCCGGUCUGAGCAUCGAAGCUUCAACUGUGUGGCAUCUGAUCAGGCACUGGAGCAAACCAUUAAUCGUGAAGGCAAGAGUCAGGGUGGAGUUGUUGGUUUUACAUUGCGAAAGGGAGCUCUCACAAGAUGGCUGAUGACAAGACAUGUGACCACAGCAUAUGUGGAUGCCAUGAAAGAGCUUUGUGACACUGAUGCAAAGGGCCAAAAAGUACACCAGGAGCAUGGAGCAUCCAGAACGGAAAGAGACGAGAGAGACAUACAGAAGAUAAUGGAAGCUGUGGAGCAGAGACAGAAUCCUUUUGAUCUUGAAAGCAUUCCUGAGGAAUUGAUCAAUAUUGCAAGUGGUCAGGUUGCAUCUGAGAAGGUUGCAAAAGGGCUCUCAAGCUUCCUCCAAGAUGGUGCAAAGCAGAAUGCCGUCUUUAUUGAAGAACGUCUGGCAAAAUCAAAAAGAACAAAGAGCUUCUGGGAGCCUGAGAAAAGAAACCAGUGUGCAACCUUCAAGGAUAUGAAAACAUCAGUUGGAGUCCAGUCUAGACAGGUUCACAUGGACUCAGAUGUGCUCUUUCGAAGGUUACUGGCUGUUUCCAAGCAGCGAGAGGUGUCCAUGGAAACUGUGAUGUCUCAUGAACUCGCAGCUGUCCCGCCCUCUUUGUUUUAUGAUGAUGGAAGCAUGAGGAAGACAACUAAAGCUGACCUUGCCAAGAAACUGGAGGCUGUUGUUGAAGAGUCACAGCAGCUGCCAAAUGUUGACGUACCAUCAGCAUACAUCAUCGAUGGCAUGGCUCUUAUACAGACUCUCCAUGAUUCAGCCUUUCAAACAUUCAACGACCUGGCCGAGUGUGUCUGGAAAAAGAUCACAAUGUUAAUGGGAAAGGAAGGCAUCAGCUGUGUUGUUGUAGUGUUUGACAGAUAUGACCAUCAACACUCAGUCAAAGAUCUAGAGAGGCAAAGAAGAGGCACCAUUCAAACCACACGAACACAUAUCAUCACAGGACAAGCAAGUGUUCCAAACUAUAGGAAAUACCUUAAGAUAAGUGGAAACAAGGCUGCUCUAUGUAGCUUUGUGAGUAACUACAUCACAAGUACUGGACCGAUGAGACUCUCUUCAGAGAACACAGUUAUCUUGGCUGGUGGAUUUGAUAAUGGUGAGGAAGUAAAGAGGGUUAGGAAGUCAGGCAUCGACAAUUUGACAGAGCUUUACAGUGACCAGGAGGAGGCAGAUACGAGACUGGUGUUACAUGUAAUACACCUUGCAAGGUCACAUUCUCGUCUAAUAGUCAAAUGUGAUGACACAGAUGUGCUGGUUUUGCUGAUCUACUAUACAAGCAAAGGAAUGUUUGGAUCCUCUGCAGUUUUCAUGCACUCUGGACAUGGCCUGAAGGAAAGAUUCAUCCCAGUCUGUUCAAUCACUCAGAAGCUUGGACCGGUUCUUUGUGAUUGUUUGCCGGCAUGCCAUGCCCUCACAGGUUGCGAUACAACAAGCAGCUUAUACAGAAUUGGGAAGACCACUGCCUUCACAAGACUGAAGUCCCAUCUGAGUGAGCUGAAGGAAAUGACUAAGUUUGGACUUUCUGGAAGCCUGCAAGAAGCUUUGCCUGUGGCAAGAAAAUAUGCCCUGCUCCUGUAUGGCCAAAAGAAAAGGGUGGAUGGACAUCUUUGCACCAAUCUGGAUGAGCUGAGGUACACACUUGCAUCUACCACAGAUGCAUCUGCAGCAAAUCUACCUCCAACAGAAGAUGCCUUCCAGCAACAUGUGUUGAGAGCCUUGUAUCGAACAGCAGUGUGGCGUCACAGCCACUUGGCCAGGCCUCAUCUCUGGAACCCAGUUGGUAGAGGAUGGAAGCUCAGAGAAGAUGGGUCCAUUGAACCUGUGAUGUUCCAGAAGGAACCAGCACCUAAAGAAGUCAGAGACAUCACCCAUAUGUACUGUAAAGAUGGAAAAUGCAAUGAUACCACCAAAUGCCAGUGUCUUGCAGUGGGAUUGACUUGCACUGAGUUUUGCUCUUGCUCUUUUCCAGACUGUCCAAAUGUGACUCAUUUUGUCACUGAUGAUGAUGUGGAUGAGUGACAAUGAAAUGUUAUAGUUUAAGUAAUAGUUUUAUUAAAAGGCUCAUCAAUGCCAAACUGCAAUCCUGACUCCUGGUCUCCUGUGUGUGCUAUUGCCAGGCCUUAAGCCAUAACUAGACUCGCCUCAGAUAGGACACUACAGCACAUUGCAAUGCAAUGAGUUCUUUCAUUUGGGACAGCUAAAACAUCUAAUUAUGAAUGGUUGCAUGGUUUAUUUUAUAUUAUAUAUAUAAUAUAUUCAUAUUAUAUUUUUAUAUUUGGUUGGCUGGAUUUAGCGCAAUGACAUCCUUCCAACAAGCCAUUUUAUGAGUUUCGAGGACAGUACAAGUAGUCACUGUAAACGUGUCAUCUUUCAAUUUCAGUCUUUGUUUCCAUAUGAACUGUAUAGAUAUAUACAGUAUAUAUACAAUGUGCUAUAUUAUUUGUGUCAUUAUUAAAUGUGUAGUAUAGAGCAGCACUAACCUCUUACUUAAUUUGCAAUUUGCAGCUUUGGACUUUUAUAUCAGUUUCAUUUUCUUUCAUUUUGGACACCUCAUACAUUGAGUGACAUACCAUCUUUAUUGUUCAUACCAUAUAUACAUAUUUGGUAUUGCUGGAUUCAGCACAAUCCCACCUUUCCAACAAGCCAUCUUAUGUGUUCCUAUGAUAAUGCCUGGCAAAGCAACUACAAAGUAAAUGAUAACAUUCUGCAUAGAAAUCAUUUUUUUCACUGUCCGCUUAUUUUAGGUAUGUGUUUAUAGGUCUCCAUCUACUUCAUACAUCAAGAUAUUCACAUCCAGCUUUUUCCAGUAGGUGCAUUGACUCCCUGGCUACAAACUUGCCAAGUCUCAAAGCUCUCAGAGCUUGUGUUAUCAUUCUGCAUUAGUUUAUAUGUCUUAACUCCCAUACGGACAGGCUAUAUUUGAGGCCUUUUUUUGUUUGGAGGUAUAUAACAAUAUCUGUCAAUUUCACAAUCUUAGCAGUAAAAAUAUUUUAGCCAAGAAUCACUUUCAUGUAUGGGAGACCUUAGAGAUGAGGAAAAACAUUGUUGGGUUUAGUUCUACCUCCGGUAGGGGUAUCUCAGAAUUUGGGGGGCAUUGUCACUAGCCUACUUGGCUCGCUGGGACUUUGUCAGAGGGCUUGUGUGAAAAUCACGAACGCAAAUGAAUUAAACGUUGUUAUAAAUCAACACGAAUAAUGUGACAGAUGAUACCCACCUACUACACGGCAACUCUAUAGCUACCUUUCUGUAAGUAAAAACUUUAUCUCACUCGUCUAAAAGCCCCUUUGAAACUGUUAUGUGUCACAGGGGCUACUGUAGUCAGUGUUGUGCCUGAACGCAUUCAUUGAACGAUAGUUCAUGAACUCGUUCAUAUUUUGGGCGAACGUGAACUGAACGUACUGUAUCUCUGCCUGAUGAACGUUUCUGUGAACUAGUUCAUUCUGGUGUCUGUGAACGACAAGCUCACUCGGUUUAACUUCGUUCGAUUCUUUGUUUAUCUACACGGCGGAUGCGGGGGAUUCUUUGUUUAUCUACAUGGCAGAUGCGCGCGCAGAAUUAAAAUGUUUGACUGGUUGCCAUGGCAAUGGUUAUCUCCGUGUGAUUAAUUUGCAGUUGCGAUGUUGUCAGCCUACUAUUACAUUAAACUGUAAUCAGAAAAUGCGGUUAUAUGCUAUAGAGCCUAUAGUAUCUGUGGUAUAAAGGCUGGGACGAAUUUCAAAUAAUAAAUAAGUACACUUUAUGUUGAAAAUAUAGACCGUCAAGAUUCCCAUUGAAACGAAUGGAGCGGUGAUUAUUCUUCAUACCGAGAGCUGGUAAAUUGUGAAAAAUGAAUUAAACUGUAAUCAGACAACGCGGUUAUACGCUAUAGACCCUAGAGUAUCUGUUUUAUAAAGGCUGGGACAAAUUUCGAAUUAUAAAUAUAAUUCGAAAUUCACCCCAGGAAAAACACCCUAUCUGCCUGGCAACACAGCCACCAGUGUCGCACGAAGCGCAUGCGUCUUCAAAACAAAAACAGCAUGGCUACGACAUCAGCAUGUAGGCGAUUAGACUCGUAUAAUAAUUUAAAAGAGUUGUAUGACAAGGUCGGUGAGGAUGGGAAAAAUCUUACAUUUCUGUGCAAACUUUGCCCGCCGGCUUUAAAAAAGAAAAUCCGCACUUCAGUCACAUCCACAGCAAACCUGAAACGGCAUAUUGAACUGAAGCACCCGGCUAGCCUUUCAAGGUAUGUGCAAGCAAAUAAAAAAUCCAAAGACGGUCAAGACAGAUCCUCGACCUCGACCCAAAUCCCAUUAACCGCGUACAGCGGCUCCUUUUUCAUCUCCCAGCCGCAGCUGGACCACCUGGUGGUGAAGUAUAUUAUCGGAGACCUGCAGCCUUUGAGUAAAGUGGAAAGCCCAGCUUUCAUAAACUUAAUUAAGGGGUUGCAGCCAUCCAAAACGGUGCCAUCGAGAAAGAAACUACAGACACUGUUAAACAAGAAAUUUAAAGAAAACAUAUCUGAACUUAAGACUGAACUGUCUGAGACCGAUGCUGUGUGCACAACAGCAGAUUGCUGGUCAGCUGUGAACAAGGCAUUUAUGGGAAUCACUGUCCACUGGCUAAACAAAACAGAUGUUUCUAAGAGAUACUCUGCAGUACUGGCAUGCCGGCGGAUUAAAGGAGCACAUACACAUGAUGUGUUGGCAAAAUUAUUGUCAGAAGUACACAAAGAAUUCAAAAUCCAGAACAAGGUUGUGUGUACAGUAACAGACAAUGCUGCAAAUUUUGUCAAGGCAUUCAACUGUUUUGGGAUGGAUAUUGAUACUGAAGUGCCAGAAACAAUGGUCCACUUUGAUGAAACUGAAAGCGAAGAUGACGAUGAAGUGCCAGCCUCUGCUGCCGCCAGUGAGGACUCAGAUGAAAAUGACCAGAUGGAGCCUGAGCCUCUCUCAGGUCUGGAUCAUCCCUCUCUCCCCCCUCACAGAAGGUGCAUGGCUCACACCUUGAAUCUAGUGGCCAAAGAUACGGAAAAGGUUACUGAAAAACGCUACAAAACAAUGUCAAGGGCUGUUUUUGCAAAAGCAUCUGCUCUGUGGAACCUGGUUAAGCGAAGUACAAAGGCUUCUGAUGCUGUGGAGGAAAAGCUUGGGAUUGGUUUUGUUGUGACAAAUGACACAAGAUGGAACUCAGUUUUUCUCGCGAUGGAGCGACUGUCUCGCAUAGCAACACUAACUACCAAGGCAGAAAUUAACGUGGCUGAGGUCACCCCUGAAAAUGAUGCCACUCCCCUACAUGACGAGCUGCUUUUGCACACUGUGAGUGAUGAGUUUGGCUUUCGCAGAUUUACUCCACAGGAAGUUGAAUUCAUACACAAGUUUGUGGAUGUGAUGAGGCCUUUAGCACUUGCACUAAACAUCCUCCAAGCAGAGAAGAACAUCUUUCUUGGCUACCUGGCUCCAACAAUUGUGCAGCUGCAAUGUCAUAUGAAUGACCUGUUGGAUGAGAGCAUAAAGCCCACUGCAGCAGAGGGUCUCAUUACAUGCAGACCCCUCAUAAAGAGUAUCUUGGAAUCCCUGAGCAAAAGGCUGGCAGGUCUUCUGGAGAAGAGGGACCACAUACUCUCCGCUAUGCUGGUGCCAAGAUUCAAGCUCGACUGGGUCCAAGAUGAGGAGAAACAAUUGCAGUACAGAUUGAUGCUGAAAAGAGAAUUUCAAACCCUCAACUCUGGUGAUGACUCAGGUCCAGCACAGUCCAGUGGUAAACCCGUCAAGAAAGAUCCUGCAGCGUCAUUCUUCAGAUUUAAUCAAAAAACGGAGGUUAAUCCAAAAACUGAAGUGGACACCUAUUUGGACGCCCCAACCACAGAUGGGUUUGAUGAAUACCUGCAGUUUUCAAAGCUCAGAAGGCUGUUCAUUAAACACAACACUGCCCUGCCCUCAAGCGCUCCAGUAGAGAGGCUCUUCAGCAUCGGUGGUCUAAUAUUCAGGUAGGAAUAAACUGAUUAUAUUACAUAAUUAUUAUUCUUUGGUAAUAAGUACAGUAAAUACCCAGCCUCAAAUUAUAGUUCUUGGUGACAUCAUUCUAGUUCUGGUUUUCAAAAUAAAAAAAUAUUUCAGUGAUUGCCUCUUUUUUUGCCAUAAUAAUCAUGAUGUUAAAAUCUCAUUCAGACCCAGGAGAAACCGGCUGGGAGAUGCCAACUUUGAGAAGCAGCUCAUCCUGAAUGCCAACAAAAAGUUUUGACGGAAGCUAAAAAACAGCAGAUCCACCAGGGAGAGAACACUGUGAUCAAUGACAGAGGAUCUUCAUUCAGAUAAGGGAUUGGCCCUGCACACUGACUUUUUUUCAUUCAUUAUUAUACUUUGGUUAUUUCUGUAACCAGUGAUAUUCAUUCAGUUCCACUCACUGGACAGAAAGUAGGAGCACUGUCCAUGGCCUUGGACUGACUCUUUUUAAGUUAUUGUUUUGUUUUACGUAUUCAUUUGGUAAAAAAAAUUAACUUAAUAAUGUUUAAAUGUUUUGCACUUUGAAUAUUGGACUUUCAAGUUCAACCUUGAUUUCCUACCUCAGUUUGUGUUAUUGGAAUGGUUACUUUACUGUUCAUGUAAUGUAACUUGUUUGUUGAACCUGCCUGGUAUAUUUUUCCAGGAUUCCAGUAUUAUUAAAAAAUAACAUUCAAGCAGCAAGUUUUUCCUCAUGUUUUUGAGAAUAUACUGUAGGGUGAAAGCUGCAGCUGCUACUAGUGUGGACUGAAUGGACAGCAACAAAGCGUUAAAGCAACAAUGGGGAAAGGCUGUCCCCUCAAUGCUAAUGUAUACCCUGGUUGGAUAAGGAUUGGAUCAGGAUAAUUGGAUAUGAAGAGGAAAUCUGAUACAUAGUUUCAGUGAUAAAACUGAUAAAAUAAUUGCUGUCUGUGGUUCUAUAUGGGCUGUGGCAAAAAUUUUGAAAAAUAAUAGCACACAGCAACAUAUUGAAAAAAAGAACUAUGAACUAGUUCAUAUUUGGAACUUGAAUUAUGAACUUUGAACUGAACUAGUUCAUUUUAAAAUUUGUGAACUGAACUUUGAACUAGUUCACGUAGAAAGUGAACUUUCCCAACACUGACUGUAGUAAAUCCUUUUUGUAUUUAUUAUAUUUUUAAACGUUAUGUAUAGAGCAUCGGCAAAUGGAUUCAACGUUGUUAUAAAUCAACACGAAUAAUUUUAGCAAUAAUGUGACACAUGAUACCCACCUACUACACGGCAACUCUAUAGCUACCUUUCUGUAAGUACAAACGUUAGCUCACUCGUCUAAAAGCCCCUGUGGAACUGUUAUGUGUCACAGCCUGGGCUACUGUAGUAAAUCCUUUUUGUAUUUAUUAUAUUUUAUAACGUUAUGUAUAGCGCAUCGCAGUGCUUUCGGCAGCUGGUGAUUGUUUCCAAGUUUUUUUUUUCUAAUUGUUUGUCCAUGUCUUGAUAUUUCCAUUAAGAUUCCAUUCUGUUCUGUUUUUUGAAGUGGUGAGCAUAAUGGCAGGAUUUAUUAAAGCUUGCAACAUUUGCUAGACCCAUGUCAACUUUGAGGAGAUGGAGCUGCUGGAGGUUAGGUGUAGAUGGAUAAGAAUAAACCGUAUGAUUUCUGAUAUUUGUUCAUAGUGGUUCUGCCACAACCCACAACCAAUUACAUUAUAGAAAGAAGGGCCAUAAAAUCUGUAGGCCUAUCCAUAGAAUAUUUUCGCGUAGGGCUACAUGAAUUUUAAUAUUGAUUUUCACCUAUCAAUCCACCUACUACACGGCAACUCUAUAGCUACCUUCUGUAAGUGCCAAAACAAACGUUAGCUCGUAAUGCUAACUCGUCUAAAAACAACUACUGUAUAACAUGUGUCACACUAUUGAUACAAUGAUUUGUGUUGAUUUAUAACGUUUCAUUUAUUUGCGUUCGUGAUUUUCACAAGCCCUUUGUUUUCACAAGCCCUCUGACAAAGUCCAAGCGAGCCA